CUGGGUGACGAGCGGCGGACGGGUGAGUAAUGUCUGGGAAACUGCCUGAUGGCGGGGGAUAACUAGUGGAAACGGUAGCUAAUACCGCAUAACGUCGCAAGACCAAAGUGGGGGACCUUCGGGCCUCACGCCAUCAGAUGUGCCCAGGUGGGAUUAGCUGGUAGGUGGGGUAACGGCUCACCUAGGCGACGAUCCCUAGCUGGUCUGAGAGGAUGACCAGCCACACUGGAACUGAGACACGGUCCAGACUCCUACGGGAGGCAGCAGUGGGGAAUAUUGCACAAUGGGCGCAAGCCUGAUGCAGCCAUGCCGCGUGUGUGAAGAAGGCCUUCGGGUUGUAAAGCACUUUCAGCGAGGAGGAAGGGUAAUGUGUUAAUA
rnacentral:rRNA from 1 species